GAGAUCGGGAUAACACCUGGAAACAGAUGCUAAUACCGGAUAACAACAGAUGAUGCCUAUCAACUGUUUAAAAGAUGGUUCUGCUAUCACUCUUGGAUGGAUCUGCGGUGCAUUAGCUAGUUGGUAGGGUAACGGCCUACCAAGGCGAUGAUGCAUAGCCGAGUUGAGAGACUGAUCGGCCACAUUGGGACUGAGACACGGCCCAAACUCCUACGGGAGGCAGCAGGC
rnacentral:rRNA from 1 species